rnacentral:rRNA from 1 species
AUUGAACGCUGGCGGCAGGCCUAACACACGCAAGUCGAGCGGAUGAAGGGAGCUUGCUCCUGGAUUCAGCGGCGGACGGGUGAGUAAUGCCUAGGAAUCUGCCUGGUAGUGGGGGAUAACGUCCGGAAACGGGCGCUAAUACCGCAUACGUCCUGAGGGAGAAAGUGGGGGAUCUUCGGACCUCACGCUAUCAGAUGAGCCUAGGUCGGAUUAGCUAGUUGGUGGGGUAAAGGCCUACCAAGGCGACGAUCCGUAACUGGUCUGAGAGGAUGAUCAGUCACACUGGAACUGAGACACGGUCCAGACUCCUACGGGAGGCAGCAGUGGGGAAUAUUGGACAAUGGGCGAAAGCCUGAUCCAGCCAUGCCGCGUGUGUGAAGAAGGUCUUCGGAUUGUAAAGCACUUUAAGUUGGGAGGAAGGGCAGUAAGUUAAUACCUUGCUGUUUUGACGUUACCAACAGAAUAAGCACCGGCUAACUUCGCG